UAAUAAGUGUUUUAUGGCACUUUUUGAAUCCAUAUCCACCUUGUGUGCAAUGUCAGUCGAUCUUCUUCAUGGAGAUCGACCAAACAUCAACCUUUAUUUUUUAACUCUUUGUCUGAAAAAUAUUAUGAAUAAACAAUUCAAAAUA
rnacentral:misc_RNA from 1 species